rnacentral:lncRNA from 1 species
CACAAUUCGGAUAUUUAAGAAGGUCGCAAGCAGAAAUCAGUCAGUCCUGAACGACCGUUCUGGGCUCCAUAACCAGCCAAGCGAAGUGAGCGAGGCAGGCCGACCUGAGUCGCGACGUGCACUGUUUUGAGGUGAUUCGUAAACUUAGGCAGGCCAACUCGAGACGAGACGCAAGGUGUACCGAAGUGAGACGCCCAUCCGGAGGAAGACUUCGCUGGGACGAAAUAGAAUAUUAAAUUAUUAUUUUGCCUUAUAUUGUACAUAAUUUAGAAUUAAUAGAUUUGCUUUGUUU